rnacentral:lncRNA from 1 species
ACAACUCCUGCACUCAUGGCUCAUGAACCCGUGGCUCCUGCACUCACAGCCUGCUUUUCACUCUCCCCUACACUGGCCCUGGCCACGGGAUUUUGUCACCACCAAAGGUUACAUCUGGAAACCCCGUUGGGAGCUUCUUUCAACUUGUGACCACUGCCUGAACUUUUUGGCUGUCCUUCACGAGGCCUUCUGAGCAACAGACUCCUUAUUGCUGCUGCCAUGGGAAGAAGGAUGUGUUCGCUUCUCCACUACUGUGGUUGUAAAUUUUCUGAAACCUCCACAGCCAUGCUGAACUGGAUCAUUGAAGUAGCAGUGGCAACGAUGUUAUGAAAGUUCCAUGGACGUCAGAGAUCCAGGAUCUUCUUGUUUCCUCACCACCAUCAUCAACUUCUCUGUCUUUUUUGCAUCCCACUGCUUGUAUUCAAUUUGAAAACGAGGGAUGUUGAAAUCUUCACCUAUAAAGGCUGUAUCUACAUCGCUUUCAGCUGUAACCCACUGUUAUAGUAGAUACUCAAUGGCAUGAUAGUAAGGUGUGAGGAAGAAAAAAAGUUCUACAAUGGCUUGCAUUCUUGGAAGGUAAAGGGAUAAGAAGCUGUGAAGGUUACGUAAUGGAGAUGAAAGGCAAGCUACAGGAAGUGAAAUUGGCAAUUCUUCUUGGUCCCUGUUUGGGAAAAUGUGAAUCUCAUCCUCUCAGUUUCUAGUUUGACAGACUAUAAGAAGGGACAUACCUAACAAAGAAUACAUCUUGCAGAUUGCUACAUAAAGAGAGGAAGUGAAUCGCUACCACUCAAUCCUGACAUUAAUUCAACAGACACAUAUUUUGAUUUCUGAAGAAUUAUGGAAACAUUCUUUCAGAAGAGAACAAUGAAAGAUAGCAUUCUGUGUUUAGCACAUUUCCCCUUUCCAAGUGGCAGUGGAGCGUUGUAACAGCAAAGUAAAUUGCUUCUUAUUUCUAUGUGCUUUUUAAAACUGUGACACUGACUGAGCUGAACCACCAAGACCACAUCUGUACACAGCUAAAUAAAAGGUUUUACAUGAUGGCAAAA